UGUGUGUGUGUGUGUGUCCCUAACAGCAAGUAAUUAGGGUGUACAGCUUGCCUGAUGGAACCUUCAGCUCGGAUGAAGAUGAAGAGGAGGAGGAGGAGGACGAGGAAGAAGAUGAAGAGGAUGAAGACAAUUAAGGUGUCAUUAACUACCACAGAUGCCGGUAUUAUGUGUUUCUGUGCUGUCAGAGCUGAAUAAAGAUAAUUGAUUAUUCAUUCA